rnacentral:rRNA from 1 species
UACCACCCUUUAAUGUUUGAUGUUCUAACGUUGGCCCCUUACCGGGGUUGCGGACAGUGUCUGGUGGGUAGUUUGACUGGGGCGGUCUCCUCCCAAAGCGUAACGGAGGAGCACGAAGGUUAGCUAAUCCUGGUCGGACAUCAGGAGGUUAGUGCAAUGGCAUAAGCUAGCUUGACUGCGAGCGUGACGGCGCGAGCAGGUGCGAAAGCAGGUCAUAGUGAUCCGGUGGUUCUGAAUGGAAGGGCCAUCGCUCAACGGAUAAAAGGUACUCCGGGGAUAACAGGCUGAUACCGCCCAAGAGUUCAUAUCGACGGCGGUGUUUGGCACCUCGAU